GAUGAACGCUAGCUACAGGCUUAACACAUGCAAGUCGAGGGGCAGCGGUAUCGAAAGCUUGCUUUCGGUAGCCGGCGACCGGCGCACGGGUGAGUAACGCGUAUCGAACCUGCCUCAUACUCGGGAAUAGCCUUGCGAAAGUAAGAUUAAUGCCCGGUGUUUUCAGAGUCCCGCAUGAGGCUUUGAACAGAGAUUUAUCGGUAUGAGAUGGCGAUGCGUCCCAUUAGCUUGUUGGCGGGGUAACGGCCCACCAAGGCGUCGAUGGGUAGGGGUUCUGAGAGGAAGGCCCCCCACAUUGGAACUGAGACACGGUCCAAACUCCUACGGGAGGCAGCAGUGAGGAAUAUUGGUCAAUGGGCGGAAGCCUGAGCCAGCCAAGUAGCGUGCAGGAAGACGGCCCUCCGGGUUGUAAACUGCUUUUAGUUGGGAAUAAAACGGGGCUCGUGAGCCCCCUUGCAUGUACCAUCAGAAAAAGGACCGGCUAAUUCCGUGCCAGCAGCCGCCGUAACAC
rnacentral:rRNA from 1 species